AACAGCUCAAAUUUGAAAUCUGGCCCCUUCGGGGUCCGAGUUGUAAUUUGUAGAGGAUGCUUCGGCGUUGGCCCCGGGCCAAGUUCCUUGGAACAGGACGUCUUAGAGGGUGAGAGCCCCGUACCUGCCCGGAUCGCCUUCGCCGUGUGAAGCUCCUUCGACGAGUCGAGUUGUUUGGGAAUGCAGCUCUAAGUGGGAGGUAAAUUUCUUCUAAAGCUAAAUACCGGCCAGAGACCGAUAGCGCACAAGUAGAGUGAUCGAAAGAUGAAAAGCACUUUGAAAAGAGAGUUAAAAAGCACGUGAAAUUGUUGAAAGGGAAGCUCUUGCUGCCAGACUUGCCGCGUUGUUCAGCCGUUUCGGCGGUGUAUUCUUCCGCGGCGGGCCAGCGUCAGCUUGGGCGGCCGGAUAAAGGCCUCGGGA
rnacentral:rRNA from 1 species